UUCUGAUUGAUUUCCUGUUUCCUGUCUCGUCCUCUCCUCAUGGCUGCCUGCCUUAUCAUGAGAGAUUGGAGGACAGUGUAAGUGCAAGCGACAUGUGUCUGGCAGAAAGUGCAAUCACUGCCAACAUGGAUUCUACAAGCUGCAGCCCUUGCACCCUGAUGGCUGCCGCGCCUGUAACUGCAAUACCGGUGGGAACAUACAGGCAGAUAUUACCUGUCACCAGGACUCAGGUCAAUGCCAGUGCAAGGCAAACAUAAUCGGUAUUUUGCAGAAAUGAGAUUUGAUUAUAGCAAUUCAUUACCUCUGGCAUAUUUGGAGGGGACCAGCAGCUUCAUAUGGACAAAAUUUAUCAAAUGCACAAGUACACAGUGCACAAUGUACUUUGAAAUGUUAAUAUAUUGGAAUAUUAUGCAUGGAGCAGUUACAGUGAGGGCUGUAUUGUAGCAAAGCCCACAUCCCUCUCCAUAGCAAUGGACAAGGACAGUUGAACACAUUCACUUGCUGUGAUUUAAAUUAAACCCUUGUGCCUGACCUAC